rnacentral:rRNA from 1 species
UACGAAGGGGGCGAGCGUUGUUCGGAAUUACUGGGCGUAAAGCGUGCGCAGGCGGUUUUGUAAGCCAGAUGUGAAAUCCCCCGGGCUUAACCUGGGAAUGGCAUUUGGGACUGCAAGGCUUGAGUGCGGCAGAGGAGACUGGAAUUCCUGGUGUAGCAGUGAAAUGCGUAGAUAUCAGGAGGAAUACCGAUGGCGAAGGCAGGUCUCUGGGCUGACACUGACGCUCAUGCACGAAAGCGUGGGGAGCAACAGG